rnacentral:rRNA from 1 species
AUUGAACGCUAGCGGCAUGCCUUACACAUGCAAGUCGACCGGAGUGGCGAACGGGUGUGUAAUGAAUCUGAAGGUGCCCAGUAGCUGGGGAUAUCUACCCGAAGGAGUCGCUAAUUACGCAUCUACUUUGAGCGGCCGAUAUCUGAUUUGUUAGUUGGUGGGGUAACGGGUCACCAAGGCGUCGAUCCGUAGCUGGUUUGUGAGGAUGACCAGCCCCACUGGGGCGUAGACACGGCCCAGACUCCUACGGGGGGCGGCAGUGGGGAAUGUUGGACAAUGGGGAAAACCCUGAUGCAGCCGUCCCGCGUGUGAGAUGAAGGCCUUCGGGUUGUAGAGUACUUUUGGCAGGGAAGCGGUGCCGGCAGAAAAAGCACCGGCUAACUACGGGCCAGCAGCCGCGGUAAUUC